rnacentral:rRNA from 1 species
AGUGAACGCUGGCGGUAGGCCUAACACAUGCAAGUCGAACGGCAGCACAGUAAGAGCUUGCUCUUACGGGUGGCGAGUGGCGGACGGGUGAGGAAUACAUCGGAAUCUACUUUUUCGUGGGGGAUAACGUAGGGAAACUUACGCUAAUACCGCAUACGACCUACGGGUGAAAGCAGGGGAUCUUCGGACCUUGCGCGAUUGAAUGAGCCGAUGUCGGAUUAGCUAGUUGGCGGGGUAAAGGCCCACCAAGGCGACGAUCCGUAGAUGGUCUGAGAGGAUGAUCAGCCACACUGGAACUCAGACACGGUCCAGACUCCUACGGGAGGCAGCAGUGGGGAAUAUUGGACAAUGGGCGCAAGCCUGAUCCAACCAUACCGCGUGGGUGAAGAAGGCCUUCGGGUUGUAAAGCCCUUUUGUUGGGAAAGAAAAGCAGCAGGUUAAUACCCCGCUGUUCUGACGGUACCCAAAGAAUAAGCACCGGCUAACUUCGUG